CAUUCAAGAGCAGUUUAAAGUUUCUGUUAUUCUAUUUUAAAUAUGUGGCUAAUAGUCGCAUUUCAAGAAAUUUAUUCUCUAUUGAGUUUGUUUUAACAGUCUCAUCUAGUCAAGGUGAUAUGGUAUUGCAUUUGGAUUGUUUUAUUUUUUAUUACUGUUUCUUAUGUGCACAAGCCAUAAGAACAUGUGUAUGGCUGAGUGUAGGUAUACAUAUAUAUGUUCGAAUCAGGUAGUCAACUUUUUCAAGUUUUAACUGGAUGUUGUUCGUUAACUUCAAUGUUGCUGCACCUCUGUGGUGAUAUUAGCCACUUGUUAUUUAUUUUUAGUCAGUUGCUUUUUCAACUUCUCAACGAAACAAUAGCUGUGUAAAAGAGUGCAAAGUUAGAAAAUGCGUUGUAUAAAUAAGUCAUCCACCUGUGGUAUCCACAGGAUUACUGCGCAUUGAAAUUUAAGAUUUCUGUAAAAAACUAGUUUUGCAAUUUUGCGUUAUUUACUUGUUUCAUUUUUUAAUAUUAUCACUUUUUUUGUAUUCACUAUUAUAUGAUUUUCCAACGAUACACCUAUUAACUUACAUUAAAUUGAAUUAAAACAGCAAAUAAAUGCCAUAUUUUCAUUUCAAUAUUGUUAAAAACAGUACAAUCGCAAAAACGCAAAAUACAAUAAAAAUAACCAAAUGUGAAUCAAUAAUACCUAUAUAAGGCAAAUUUCCUGCGCUCCUCAAGUUUGUGCGCACAAUAACGUGAAUUCUAAUAAAGAAGACUACCGUGACUUUCGCAACUUCAUUUUUGAUAACUUGAUAAAUGUACGCUGACGCAUUUUUCAUUUAAGAAUGCGGUAAAAUUGUUCAUUGCUUUGAAUUAUCUGAACAAGUUAUUGAAAUAUACGGAAAAAAUCCACGUAUAUAUUUAUAUAUAUAUAUAUGUAUGUAAAUCGAUGCAUACAUGUUGAGGCCAAAUGAUAAACCAUACAUAAUGGCGAGGCGAAGAUACAUGUGCUGUCACUCUGAGUGCGCCAGUAUAAGACUUAUACUUCAUUUUUGUUUCAUGUUUAUUGGAGGUUUAACGGUGCUGCCGCGAGGAUCAACGCAAUUGAUGGAUGAUUCCUUUACUGUCAAACCGACACCAGCACUGCAAUUGGGUGAAGAAGAAUUAAUGACAAUAGUACUUCUAAAAAAUGACAACUCGCGAACUGGAGGUGAACAAAGUCGUGGUCGUUUUAUUAACGUACGUCCGGAGAUAGGGCUACUGACAUCAACAGCUCGUACUUUUAUACAAGAAGGCAUUACUACGGAAUACGCCACCCAAGUCGUUGGCACAACUCUUGAUAGUGGUCGACUUUACGCACAAUUUCUCAAAAAGAGUUCUCGCGUCUUAUACAAAGAGGAUAACGAAAGUGGACCGUCCGUUAUAACUAGUUGGGUAGGUGAACCUUUAACGCAAGGCGAAUCGAUUUUAAAUACCCUAUCAAAGAAUCUAUUGCAAAGCCACAAUGAUGUGUUUAAUGCGGAAAAACCUGACUGGAGGGCGAUUGAUGAUGACAUUUUCCUUAACUUACGUGAUUUUGUAGUAAAUACCGAUUUCGUACAAGUGCGAAAUACGCAUGCUUCCCUCCACGAUGACAUUCAACCUAGUUGGACGCUCAUGCCUUCAACAGGUCUUUCAACUUCCCCUUACUCCAUACCAGCAAAUUUAACACAACUUGUGAGUUUAGUAGACAUGAAAGUUCCUACAACGCCCGCCGAGAAAGUGUUACCAAUUGCUGAUCUUCCAACUUAUACAGUUAAACAUCAUUACGAGCCUAGUGGUUAUUUUAGGAAUGAUAGUGUUUUGAAUGCAAAUCGUGAUGCUAGAAAUGAGGUUUAUAGUCGUAAUGGCAAAUUAAUUUACAAAGAAUUUCAUAGUGAUAAUGAAAAAGCAUCCAACAAGAUAUCACCUACCGUUCAGUCGAAUGAAGCAGCACAUAAUUAUUUUUCUACCAUCACUUAUUAUGGAUUCGCCGAUUUCACAACAGUUGUUGGAGAUAGUAUUAUCGUUUUUUCCCCUGGCACUGCCCGGUCCAGCCACGAAACAAAUGCCAAUGUUACCUCGAUAAAAGGUGAAGCUACUCUUGACGUGAUUUCAUUUCAGCUAACGCAAGUCGGCCCGGCUGAAGCUGGUACUGCAAUCCACAACUUUUCAGCGCGUAAUUUUCAAUCAGAAAUUUUAAAUAUGAAUUCUGUUAUAAUCCCCAAACCUUUCUCAAAGACUUCGUUAACAACACCUUCAGAAAAGCACACAUCUACAAAGAGAGUCGCUUUAGAACCAUCGGGCCAUAGUCUAAAGGAAGCGCUUAUAAAAAAUUUUACAUUAUUUCCAAUCUCUGUCUCAGCAACCACACCUAUUGAAGAAAAUCUGAAACUUUCCCAUCCGUCGAAUGACCAAAUUUUAGAUAUUUUUACCGCCUUAGUGAUCGUGGAAACUGAUACAUUAAUGGCAACCCUCGCCCCCAAAACUUCCUUCAAUGAAAGUAAUACAAUUACAUAUGCCAAUGUAGAGACGAACCCCAGCACCUUAGGUGGCGCCACCACAAUAUUUUUCGAAGAUGAUCCAUUUACAAAUUUUUUAGCAAAGUCAAACCUUGACCCGAUUUUAAUUCCAUUUGCAACGCGCGCAUUUGACCAGAAGCAAACAGUCGAGCGAAGUUUUGCAGAUCAGCCUAUCGAAAGCUCAAUGGAAAUUUUUACAACUGAUAACUUUUAUUCAUCUGUUAGAGAUAUCAGCACAAUAUUGAAGAACGAACCGAGAGCAAUAAAUAAUUCAGCAGCAACAGGGAUAGCUAAAACGAUUCCGGAUAGCAUCAUUAGAGAAAUAAAAUCCAAGGACAAAGUAGAUAUUGAUGCCUGUAUACGAACCUCUCAAGUUUUUCUGACUCAAACGCCACGAAUAAUAACGGAGUUAAUUACAAGCGCGAAUAUACACAAUACUACAACCGAACCAUUCCAGGAAAUGGAUUCGCAUAUUGUAGGAAACUUUGAAAUUGGUUCGGCCACUAAAUAUUAUUGCGUUCAAACUACACGCAAAUACGAUACAAAAAAUGAAGAGGAGCCAAUUGUGGUUUCAAACUUAUCAUCAUUUAUAUCUAUUGAAACUCCAACUAAGAGCAUUGAACGUAUCACGGUGUCGAUAGGUAUCAGUGAAAAUGAAGCUAACGCUUUAAUAUCCGACAUAGCGUCAACAAGAAGAGAACGAAAGGAUGAAGAAACUUUAGACGGAGUCUUAAGUGAACUUCCAAAUUUAUUUGAAAGUCCUACAUUUAAGGAAAUUGCAUCCCAGUUAAUUGUAAAAGAUUUAGAUUUGGAACCCGUCACUGAAAUACAGUCAAAAUUUUCCGGAAAUAUUUUAGAAACGGAUGAGGAAGAUGAAAUUGAACUUAUAUAUAAGACACUUUACACUACCUAUACUUAUCUGACCACCUAUUUCCACGAAAUAGACACAAGUAUUUCUAGUCAUACAGAAGUAGUUACAAAUAUCAUUACUUCUACUUUAAAUGAUAAAAGAUUACCAUUAACACAGCUAGUGGAGAAUAAGAAGAAAAGUGAAUUUACAUCAUUCUCGGCGGUUUCACGCUACACUUUGUCCACAGAACUAGAUACAUAUAUACAAAGCGAAGAAAAAAGAAAUGCGGAUAGUGAAGAAUAUUUUGCAGAAAACGCGGAAGCAAGAACGGAAAUUAAUGCUGACACUGCUGAGCAAAGAAAUUUUUUCAGAACCUUUUAUACGACCUACACAUAUUAUACGACGAUAUUUGCAGAUAACGAAACUGAAAUAAUGUCGCACACUGAAAUUCAUACCAAUUUUGUUAAGCCAACAAAAGCUUCAAAAACUUCUAAAACGCAGACCUCUCUCUAUGCAUUAUUGCCUCCACAACCUAAUGAACAUAUAAGCCCCUCAGAGGCGACGCUUAUGCAGAAUAAGGAAGAAAACGCACUAGGUAGCCAUGGUAACAAAACAAACAAGUUCACGUCUGGAGAAAGGCACGUGUCGAUAAUAUCUGAUAUAGGGGAUUCGUCGGCAGUAACAUUCAUAACAGAUGUGCGUUCAAGUAGUUCCAUAGGUGAACAACAUGUAAUCGAUCAAGAAUUUUAUCUGAAAUUAUCUGACAUUUCUGAACCUAACCAAUCUUCUCUAGAUGACCAAGUCAGUUCCGAAAGCAAUACAGAUGAUGAAGUUUUGCCGUCGGCCACGUUACUCUUACAAACGAGCUUUACGACUUUUACUUAUUAUACGACAAUGUAUAGUGGUAGGAAGACGAAUAUAAUAAGUCAUUUGGAAACUAUCACAAAUACCCACACCGAAACUUUAAAAUCUUCAAAAACUUUAAAUUUGGAUGAAACGAGUUUGCCCAUUACAUAUUUUACAACAUUCACAUAUUGGACAAAAUUGGCUAGAGACGGUCAGAUUACCACCGUGAGCCGGGAAGAGACAGUUUCAAAUGUGGUAAUACCCACAAAAGUUUUCACAGAAGAACCGGCAGAGAGUAAUAUUACAACUUCACCAUUAUAUACCUAUAACAUCGAAUCAAGCUCCGAUUAUUUAAAUCAAACCCAACCAAAUAUUGAGCUAAGUGGUUACAACGUGGGAACUGACGUAGUGUUUUCUAUUGUGACUAGUGUUUUAAAGCCAACCACUUAUUACACCACUUAUACCUUCUACACAACGUCCUACGAAUUAGAUAAUACUAUUACGGAUUCUCAUUUAGAAACCGUAACGAAUGCAAUCACGCCGACGCUUACGUUGACGCCUGCACCAUUUGCUCGGCAAACGACCACAGCUUUCUUAGAAUUGUUGCCGUCAUCAACAGCAAGAUCAGAUAAAGCUUCCAUUAGUAUAUUAGCGUAUGACCUUAAAAAAAUUAUAGAUGCAGAUGGUAUUUCUACUUUAUUCUUUACCACACAAAUACAAUCUACGGUUGAUCAACAUGGAAAAUUCUCAGAAUUCGUAAACAGUACCUCCACUUUAUAUGUUGAUGAAGUUAAAAAGGCGCUGCUUUCAACCAUGAUCAGUUCUGAACGAUCAGGCACUGACAUUCAAAAACAACAUAAAACCGGUUUAGUACGUUUAAUAGAAGGAACACGUACCGGCAAUAAGACUACUACUUUGUAUCAAUCCAGAGUGAUCGGUACAAUAAUUGACCAACGAUAUGCGCAAAUAAUUGAGAGUACGUCUAGUUUCAUUUUCGAGCAUAGCAGCGAUCUGCCAGAUAGUUCUAUUCGAGAGAGCAAUACUUUGACUAAUAGCUUUGUUCAAAGUAUACAGAGGCCUACGAUCGGAAUGUCGGACUCGUCUUUGAUUGAAGGCAAUGAAGAGCGGUACCGCUUUGAUUACAAACUGAAUGAAUCUGAAAUGAAAGACAUUGAUAGAACAUCUCCACCUUACUUAACUCAGUCAAAGAAACGAGUAUUCACACCUACAAUUAGGCCGUUUGCAAGUCGAAAUCGACCGCAAUUUGCACCAAAAAAAAGUAGCUUAUUCCCCAGUAGCGCUACUAUUAUCACACGUAGUGAUUUUACGCCAACAAUAACUGCAACGCCAGCUCUUAAGUCUUCUAGCCGUUUUACUUCUUUCCGUUACAGCAGCAAUCCUUCAUCAACAAUUUCUGGUUAUGGAUCCGCCCGACGUUUUGGACGGCUUGGGAAACCACCAUCUAGCAGCAUUGAGCUCCGAUUAAAUCGAAUUAAUGCAGCACUUUCACAACAGUCGUUCCGCAUAAAUGUGUCAACAAAUCUACGUCGCUUGAGUGGAUCUGUAAACCGUCCAACACUAUCCGGCAUAUUUUCUUCAAGCGACAAUCGCUUUUCUCGCCUUAAGCCCCCACUGACCCAAACGCAAAAUUUGGAUGAAAUGCUUACAUCUGUACUACGCACAGGUGCGAAUUCAAAUUCGCAACAAAAUGAUGAAGAAAAUUUACCUCUGCAUGAUGAGAAUGAUGUAAAUGAUACCCUCUCACUGCUGAAUAGACAAAAUAAAUUACGAGCCCGGCGACCUCUAUCUAAUGGAUCUAGCGCCACUCCAGUACGUUCACCUUAUUCUAAUGUGAGCCCAGGCUUCUUGCGGCGACUUAGUCGCUUCCGUUCUUCGACAGUCACGACAACGACAAGUAUACCAACUACACUUAAACCUCGCCCAAAAAGUUUCCAGCGCCAUGUUGCAGCAAGCACUUUCCAGAACAGAUCACGUUUUUCCAAUAGCUUAUUUCCGACUCGUAAUAUUUUCGGAACUCAAAGACCUUUUAUAGACCAAGUAAAUUCACAAAACAGUGAAGACACUCCGUCAUUCGACGAAAAUUUAAGCAAAGGCAAUGAAAAUGAUGAAGAUUCUGAAUAUGAAGAAGAAGACGAAGAUGAAAUACUUGAAGAGGACGACGUAGAAGAUAUAUUUAGAAGACGACGAUCGAGCAAAAAGUCGAGCCUGAGUUUUUUCACAGAUAAUGAAAAUUGGCGAGCAAAACGCGAAGCAGAUAACACUGUAAAAAGUGUUAGUAAUUUUCGUAAUCGUUUUAGAAGGCCAAUGAAAACGUCAGCAAUUCAAGCUGAGACUCGUAGCUAUGCUGAUCAGAACGCCGAUAAUAACAACACAUUCUUUACUGCUCGAACAAACGCUUAUGCUCGUAAACGAGUAGGAUCCCGCUUAAAUGGGCGUCUUCAAAACCUACAAUCGACUUCAAUAAAAACCGAAAGCUUAAUUUUAAAUAGGCCUAUAAGGCCCACGCGUCCGACUAGUGGAGCAAGAGCUCAAUUCACAUUGCGUGAAAAGGAUUCUACAACAACAACCCCACGUACGCAAAAGAGCCGCGCCGGUUUUCGGCGAAGUCAGCCUGGAGCCGCUAUGUCUAUUUAUCCAUCUGUAUCUUCAACGUUAAACACUACCAACGGCCACCGCCGAUUAAAGACUAAGGUGGACUCCUUGCCUCAUACACGUGAUUCAAUAUCAACACGGACGCGCACCGGUAAUUUAGCAAGCGGCCGCGUACGUACCACCUCCCCACGCAACUCAGCAAAUAAUCGCGCACGUACAAAUAACGACAUAAAAUCAGAGCUCUUAAUAUUUGAUAAUAGUGACACCAUAACAGUUACUUAUAGAGUACCGACAAGUGUCACUGUUCCAAUUGUCGAUGGAAAAGUAACUGAAUAUAAAUUAUUAGUAACAGCUAAAACUUACAGCGAGGUGCUAGGACCGAAACAGUAUACUAGCUUCACGAAUGUCAACGGUCAAACGCAGCUAGUGCUAACGCGUGAGGAUUCCUCCGUGAACUAUGUCGGAGAAACAAAACUCACUCAAUACUUUCUACAUGAAAAGCCCACUACUACUGUAACAUUCACGCCGACAACCAUACGCGGGCGUAAAACUUCUUUUUCCCAUAUCUUACCAUCGACCGUGUACUCAGUAGAAGAAGUAGUUUCUACAAUACAACCGAAGAUAUCUCCUAAUGUACCUUUAGCUAAUAUAUUGUUAUCCCAACUACUACUAGGUCAAGGAGGUCUUCAGACGGCAAAUCCACUACUUGAAGCUUUAAGCGAAGCUCUGACUCAAUCGGUCGGUUUAGUGAUGACUAGCAAUAUCAAUCCCGUGACAGAAUAUCGUACGCACGCUUCCACUUACAUUACUACUGUCUAUGAAGGCAAAUCCACCAUUUUGCCCGUUACUUUUCAAGGAAAAAAAAUUUUAACUACGAUCUAUGACACUACUGCCCAAACCAUUACCGCUACCGAAUUUAUUACUGAUACCAUUAUUACAACGCCAACUUUAAUGCCCCAAAUAUUACCUCAAACACAGAUUGCUGCCAACAGUCUUCUACUCCAGCAACUGUUGCUACCACAACAAGUCCCUCAUUCAGAUGUAAGUGGUCAAUUAGGAGCAGCCCUUUUGAACAUAAUACCUUCACGGUUAUAUUUAAAUGGUGAGAGUUUGCAACAACUAGAAGCUAUCAAUAAUGUCCGUCUCUCUAAUCGAGGGAGAGACUUAAAUGAUGACGACGACAUUGCUUCAGGCAGUGGCCUAAACAUUGAUGAUAUAACAUUAGUUGCGCAAACUCACAAUCAGAAACCAAGCCGCAAAAAAGCAAGGAAGUCUGGAAAAAGUCAUAAACGCAAACCACAAGUGGAACCAGUACAACCGCAAUCUAGUGUAGUUACACUUUAUUUGUCGGGUCGUCGCCCAGGGGAAUUUAGUACUGUAUUGUCAACGGUGCCAGUACGAUUAGCAAGUACACUUUACAAACGACACGCUACGGCGAUUAUUAGCAGUUUGUGCAGCACAGAUAGAAGUGAACAUAAUGAUUAUGUGGCGACGCAGGUAACAUUCCUAAACAAAAACGAGGCCAUACAUGCAACAGAAACUUUAGAAAGUAUUGUUGGUGAUGUUUUAAAAUUGCAUACUCAAUCACUAGCAGCUAGGCUUGAGAAUAGCCACCAAACUGAAUCAGGUUGAUUGCUUAUUUUUUCUCAAAAAAUAGUAAAGAUGAAAACCAAAGGUUAGGUAUAGUAAAGACGCAAUUUUGUCGUAGUUGACCUUACUAAGCCAUUCAUUCUCUUGCUGCAGGUGAUAAAACACAAAACAUAAAAAUUAUAGCUAAUGAAAAUAUUAUAUAUUGCAAGCAACUUAAUAGAAACCGGGACAUGCACAACAGUUUGGCGCUCAAUUCAACAAGAAACCAAAUUAUAAGGACAACAUUGUGUUUAUUUCGGUACGUAACCGUUAAUACAAGACAAGUUUGAAUUUUAUCAAUUGCAAGUUUUUUAAAGAUCACAAGGUUUAUUAACGUAAAUGUAACGUUAACGAUUUUACCAAAACACAGAAAUAUUGGAACCGGAUAUCAAGAGAAUAAAGUUAAGGUACAAAAAGUGUGUUUUAUUCUGAUAAAACGUAAAAUUUUUCGAACUCGUAACAUUAACAUAACGGGAAACACUAGUAGUAAGAACACCAAAAGAGAGAAAGAAUUCAGAAUUAACAAAAAGGCGAAUAUGUUCCCAAAAAUACUACAGAAAGCGAAACAAAAGAGCUACAAUAGAUAUAAUAAAUUCGCGCAGAAAAGAGUAACUUUUAUGCAACCACGAACUAACGGUGAUGUGACAGUGUGAACUUUAGAUGUUUUGAACCACUUUGAGAAAAAGAUAAAUCAAUCCUCCUAGCAAGACACUAAAUGCGAAGCUGAGUUAGAUUUUAACGACAAAAUCGCCAAAACGAAGCUGCCUACAACCCGAGAUAAAGGUGAAAAAAAAAAUCGACGAAAACCUUUGUAAAUGUGUAUGCAAUAUCGUACUUAGUCUUGCCGUCUUUAUUAUCAAACGCGUCACUUCACCUAAGAGCAGCCACUAUGGCUCUCCAUUAAAUGAAAUUGCAAAUAUGGAUUUUUGCUUUGAUAGUAGCGUGUGCUUUGUUCGGGGUACCAUAUACCAAUAAUAUCGACAAGUUAGCGUAUACAAUCUCAAAUGUUAUUACGUGUUUUCACAGUAAUAAGUGCACUUGCAAUGCGUCAAUAAACCCAUGAUGCUACUAUUUCUGCCUACAAGCGAAGCAAUCUCUUCAAGCGAACUGAAAUAUUAAUUUAAAUUUUAAACAAUAAUACAGAUCCAAGUUGAACAAAGAAAGCCCGGUUAAAUGUGUAUGUAUAUAUAUAUACAUAUACGUACGCUAAAGCGACAAAAGUGGAUAUCUGUUCUAUACGAAAAUUAUAAUUAAAUUCCGGUAAACAUGUCGAGCAAAAUUUGUAUUCUUUCGGACGAAAGAGUAGUCAGUCGUAUGGCUAUAUUGAAGAACAUUAAAAACCAAGAAGCCAGAAGGAAUCUUUAUCGUUUUGGAAGUUUUAACCUUUAAAAAUUAUUAAAAGCUUCGUUGUAUAUCAUUCUUCAAUACUUGCCGGACCGAAAUAUGUGACUAGGUAAACUUUUUGUUAUGAAAGAAAGUUCAAUGGUCAUUAAGUAUUCCAAACGAAAAUUGAAGAAUUGCACUUCAACGAAUCAACAUCCUCAAUUUUUUCAAACUUUCCUGAUUACAAAAACUCCAGCGAGUUUUAAGACAGAUUAUCAUCUAAAUUCGUUCAGUAACAAAGAAGAGUAGAGACUAAUUUAGAGGGUAAGAUUUGCACCAGUGUAGUGAAUCAAAAAGCACGAGGCGAAGUAAAUUAAUAAGGUAACUGCUAUAACCUAUAAGAUAUUAAUGAAUGUUUUAAAAUAUUUAAUUUUUGUUAGAGUUAGUCGUCGAGGCAUUACGAGAUUGUCUGCGUAGGAACCACGCUCGUUUUACAAUUCUAUGAAUAUGUAGCAAAAUCAUAUCGUUUCCUUCAUUUUUGCGACGCUAAAAGAAAGGUACAAUAGAAGCCGAUUUCAUUUCAAUAAGGGAUUUAAGUUUAUUAAGAUUCUUUGGGUUUUCUACUACGUAAUUCAGCGAGUUGUGAGCCAAACGAAAAGAUGUCCUUAAUAUUGAGAACAACAUUUUUCUUCGUAUCAGUUAUUAUUAUUAUUAUUAUUAUUAGAAAUUUAGCCAGAGGAUAAAUUCUAAGACUAAUGUCUUAAAGCACUA